UACGGAGGGGGCUAGCGGUGUUCGGAAUUACUGUGCGUAAAGCGCGCGUAGGCGGAUUGUUAAGUCGGGGGUGAAAUCCCGGGGCUCAACCCCGGAACUGCCUUCCAUACUGGCAAUCUGGAGUUCGAGAGAGGUGAGUGGAAUUCCGAGGGUAGAGGUGAAAUUCGUAGAUAUUCGGAGGAACACCAGUGGCGAAGGCGGCUCACUGGCUCGAUACUGACGCUGAGGUGCGAAAGCGUGGAGAGCAAACAGG
rnacentral:rRNA from 1 species